rnacentral:rRNA from 1 species
CAGCCGCCGCGGUAAUACGAAGGGUGCAAGCGUUAAUCGGAAUUACUGGGCGUAAAGCGUGCGUAGGCGGUGAGUUAAGUCUGCUGUGAAAUCCCCAGGCUCAACCUGGGAAUGGCAGUGGAUACUGGCUCGCUAGAGUGUGUCAGAGGAUGGUGGAAUUCCCGGUGUAGCGGUGAAAUGCGUAGAGAUCGGGAGGAACAUCAGUGGCGAAGGCGGCCAUCUGGGACAACACUGACGCUGAGGCACGAAAGCGUGGGGAGCAAACAGGAUUAGAUACCCCCGUAGUCCCUGUCUCUUAUAC